AGGACGAACGCUGGCGGCGUGCUUAACACAUGCAAGUCGAGCGGUAAGGCCUUUCGGGGUACACGAGCGGCGAACGGGUGAGUAACACGUGGGUGAUCUGCCCUGCACUUCGGGAUAAGCCUGGGAAACUGGGUCUAAUACCGGAUAUGACCUCAGGUUGCAUGACUUGGGGUGGAAAGAUUUAUCGGUGAAGGAUGGGCCCGCGGCCUAUCAGCUUGUUGGUGGGGUAAUGGCCUACCAAGGCGACGACGGGUAGCCGACCUGAGAGGGUGACCGGCCACACUGGGACUGAGACACGGCCCAGACUCCUACGGGAGGCAGCAGUGGGGAAUAGUUGCACAAUGGGCGAAAGCCUGGAUGCAGCGACGCCGCGUACGGAGGGAUGGACGGCCGUUCGGGUUGUUAAAACCGUCUUUUCCGAGCCGAGGACGGAAGCGACGAAGUGACGGUACCGUGACGAGAAGAAGACACCGGACCUAACGAACGUCGACC
rnacentral:rRNA from 1 species